AACGAACGCUGGCGGCAGGCUUAACACAUGCAAGUCGAACGGUUGUAGCAAUACAGCAGUGGCAGACGGGUGAGUAACACGUGGGAACCUUCCUAGGGGUACGGAACAACUCAGGGAAACGUGAGCUAAUACCGUAUACGUCCGUGAGGAGAAAGAUUUAUCGCCCUUAGACGGGCCCGCGUCGGAUUAGCUAGUUGGUGGGGUAACGGCCUACCAAGGCGACGAUCCGUACCUGGUCUUAGUGGAUGAUCAGCCACACGGGGAAUGAUACACGGCCCAGACGCCUACGGGAGGCAGCAGUGGGGAAUCUUGGACAAUGGGCGCAAGCCUGAUCCAGCCAUGCCGCGUGAGUGAGGAAGGUCUUCGGAUUGUAAAGCUCUUUUGCCGGGGACGAUAAUGACGGUACCUGCAGAAGAAGCACCGGCUAACUACGUGCCAGCCGCCGCUGUAA
rnacentral:rRNA from 1 species